rnacentral:rRNA from 1 species
UACGUAGGGUGCAAGCGUUGUCCGGAAUUAUUGGGCGUAAAGAGCUCGUAGGCGAUCUGUCGCGUCGGAUGUGAAAAUCCAGGGCUUAACCCUGGGCCUGCAUUCGAUACGGGCAGACUAGAGUGUGGUAGGGGAGACUGGAAUUCCUGGUGUAGCGGUGAAAUGCGCAGAUAUCAGGAGGAACACCAGUGGCGAAGGCGGCUCACUGGCCCGAUACUGACGCUGAGGCACGAAAGCGUGGGGAGCAAACAGG